GACGAACGCUGGCGGCGUGCCUAAUACAUGCAAGUCGAACGGAGGGGCGGAUGGGUGAGUACCGCGUGGGUAACCUGCCCUUAAGUCUGGGAUACCAUCUGGAACCGGAUGAUAAUACCGGAUACUUAAGGAUGGACCUGCGUUGCAUUAGCUAGUUGGUAAGGUAACGGCUUACCAAGGCGAUGAUUCAUAGCCGGGUUGAGAGACUGAUCGGCCACAUUGGGACUGAGACACGGCCCAAACUCCUACGGGAGGCAGCAGUAGGGAAUCUUCCACAAUGGACGAAAGUCUGAUGGAGCAACGCCGCGUGAGUGAAGAAGGUUUUCGGAUCGUAAAGCUCUGUUGUUGGUGAAGCGGUAAUCAACCAGAAAGUCACGGCUAACUACGUGCCAGCAGCCGCGGUAAUAC
rnacentral:rRNA from 1 species